AGAGUUUGAUCAUGGCUCAGGAUGAAUGCUGGCGGCGUGCCUUAAGCAUGCAAGUCGAACGGUUUCCGCAAGGAAGCAGUGGCAGACGGGUGAGUAACGCGUAGGAAUCUACCUCCGGGUGGAACAUAGCCCCGCGAAAGCGGGGGUAAUUUUUCAUAGUCCCGCAAGGGUAAAGGUCUUAACUGACCGCCGGGAGAGGAGCCUGCGUCCUAUCAGCUAGUUGGUGAGAUAAAAGCCCACCAAGGCGAUGACGGGUAGCUGGACUGAGAGGUUGGAACACCUCCUU
rnacentral:rRNA from 1 species